rnacentral:rRNA from 1 species
UACGUAGGGGGCAAGCGUUAUCCGGAUUUACUGGGUGUAAAGGGAGCGUAGACGGCAUGGCAAGUCAGAUGUGAAAGCCCGGGGCUCAACCCCGGGACUGCAUUUGAAACUGUCAGGCUGGAGUGCAGGAGAGGUAAGCGGAAUUCCUAGUGUAGCGGUGAAAUGCGUAGAUAUUAGGAGGAACACCAGUGGCGAAGGCGGCUUACUGGACUGUAACUGACGUUGAGGCGCGAAAGCGUGGGGAGCAAACAGG